rnacentral:rRNA from 1 species
ACGUAGGGUCCGAGCGUUGUCCGGAAUUAUUGGGCGUAAAGAGCUCGUAGGCGGUUUGUCGCGUCUGCUGUGAAAUCCCGAGGCUCAACCUCGGGUCUGCAGUGGGUACGGGCAGACUGGAGUGCGGUAGGGGAGAAUGGAAUUCCUGGUGUAGCGGUGGAAUGCGCAGAUAUCAGGAGGAACACCGAUGGCGAAGGCAGUUCUCUGGGCCGUAACUGACGCUGAGGAGCGAAAGCGUGGGGAGCGAACAGGA